rnacentral:tRNA from 1 species
GCUUGGGUGGCUCAGUCGGUUGAGCGUCUGACUUCAGCUCAGGUCAUGAUCUCACGGUUCGUGAGUUCGAGCCCCGUGUCGGGCU